CAGUCGCCGCGGUAAUACGAAGGGUGCAAGCGUUAAUCGGAAUUACUGGGCGUAAAGCGUGCGUAGGCGGUGAGUUAAGUCUGCUGUGAAAUCCCCGGGCUCAACCUGGGAAUGGCAGUGGAUACUGGCUCGCUAGAGUGUGUCAGAGGAUGGUGGAAUUCCCGGUGUAGCGGUGAAAUGCGUAGAGAUCGGGAGGAACAUCAGUGGCGAAGGCGGCCAUCUGGGACAACACUGACGCUGAGGCACGAAAGCGUGGGGAGCAGACAGGAUUAGAGACCCGCGUAGUCCCUGUCUCUUAUAC
rnacentral:rRNA from 1 species